UUUUUUGUAUUUUACACUCGAUUUACACAUUUUACGAGCUUUCCUGUGUUGUUUUAUCGAUAUU
ensembl:ncRNA Y37E11AR.9 ncRNA